AAAGUACAUUGCAGGUAUACUUGACUUCUGUUUUUCAUUUUCCUCUUCUGCUUUUGAUUUUUCAGAUUUCAACUGAUGCUUCUCCUAUUGUUGUAGCCUGGAACUUCCCUCAUUACCUGGGGUAUUCUUGCCCAAGAACAUUUAACUAUUCCUUGAAUAUCUCUACACAAGACCCACUGCCUUUUCCUAAAGCAGAGAAAUGGUUUGCCAUUGCCUUCUCCAGAUCAUUUUGAAGAUGAGGAAAUGGAAACAAAUGGGGUUAAGUGAUUUUCCCAGGAUCACACAGCUGAAUCAUCAAAGUCCAGUGGCAAAAGAAAAAUCAAAAUGACUGGUGAUUGCCCAGGAUGCAGUGGAUGACGUUGGCAUCUUCCAUGUCUGGCCUAUCUCUAAGCCCUCCUGUUUCAGCCUCCUUCAUGACCAUUUGAAUAAACUGUUCUCACAUGUCCUUUCUACCA
rnacentral:lncRNA from 1 species